rnacentral:rRNA from 1 species
UACGAGGGGGGCAAGCGUUGUUCGGAAUUAUUGGGCGUAAAGGGCGCGUAGGCGGUGCGGUAAGUCACCUGUGAAAACUCUGGGCUCAACUCAGAGCCUGCAGGCGAAACUGCCGUGCUUGAGUGUGGGAGAGGUGCGUGGAAUUCCCGGUGUAGCGGUGAAAUUCGUAGAUAUUCGGAAGAACACCAGUGGCGAAGGCGACUCACUGGACACGUAUUGACGCUGAGGUGCGAAAGCGUGGGGAGCAAACAGG